AUUGAAAGAUGGCUUCGGCUAUCACUUACAGAUGGACCCGCGGCGCAUUAGCUAGUUGGUGAGGUAACGGCUCACCGAGGCGACGAUGCGUAGCCGACCUGAGAGGGUGAUCGGCCACACUGGGACUGAGACACGGCCCAGACUCCUACGGGAGGCAGCAGUAGGGAAUCUUCCGCAAUGGACGAAAGUCUGACGGAGCAACGCCGCGUGAGUGAUGAAGGUUUUCGGAUCGUAAAACUCUGUUGUUAGGGAAGAACAAGUACCGUUCGAAUAGGGCGGUACCUUGACGGUACCUAACCAGAAAGCCACGGCUAACUACGUGCCAGCAGCCGCGGUAAU
rnacentral:rRNA from 1 species